rnacentral:rRNA from 1 species
CCUACGGGGGGCAGCAGUGGGGAAUCUUGCGCAAUGGGCGAAAGCCUGACGCAGCGACGCCGCGUGAGUGAUGAAGGCCUUCGGGUUGUAAAGCUCUGUGGAGGGGGACGAAUAAGUGUCGUCGAAUAGACGGCAUGAUGACGGUACCCCUUUAGCAAGCACCGGCUAACUCUGUGCCAGCAGCCGCGGUAAGACAGAGGGUGCAAACGUUGUUCGGAAUUACUGGGCGUAAAGCGCGUGUAGGCUGCUCGGAAAGUCGGAUGUGAAAGCCCUGGGCUCAACCUAGGAAGUGCAUUCGAAACUUCCGAGCUCGAGUUUCGGAGAGGAAGGCGGAAUUCUCGGUGUAGAGGUGAAAUUCGUAGAUAUCGAGAGGAACACCGGUGGCGAAGGCGGCCUUCUGGACGAUGACUGACGCUGAGACGCGAAAGCGUGGGGAGCAA